rnacentral:misc_RNA from 1 species
AGCCCCGGUGGCUCUGACCCUUCAAUCUUUUAUAACUCUACCAGUUACUGGGAUGAGUUUGUGUGGGGUGGAGCUUGGUUGUAUUAUGCCACGGGGAAUUCCUCCUAUCUUACACUGGCGACAACUCCUGGGAUCGCCAAACAUGCUGGUGCAUUCUGGAGUAGCCCUGAUUACGGCGUCUUUAGUUGGGAUAACAAGCUUAUGGGUUCCCAAGUUCUUCUCAGUAGACUGCGACUAUUCUUGAGUCCAGGAUAUCCUUAUGAAGAAAUACUGAGGACAUUCCACAACCAGACCGGCAAUGUUAUGUGCUCAUACUUGCCAUAUUUUACAUCUUUCAACCGAACAAAAGGAGGCUUGAUACAACUAAAUCACGG